AUAAAAAGAAUGGGCAGAGAGUUAUCACAUCAGUAGUCACACACAGAGAGAGAAAGACAGACCGACAGACAGAAAGAGAGUGAGACGCUGCAGAAUGAUGAAGUCUGUAUUUGCCCUUGUUAUCCUGUUGUAUCUCUGCUACACUGCUAAAUUAGACAGGAACCUAAACGAGGAGAUUCAGAAAAGUCUGGAGCUACUAAAAAACAAUAUCAGUUUCACAUCUGUAAGUAUAAUUUAGUGAUAUUUUCACUUUUUUUUAAUUUGACACGUGUCUCCUGUGGAACUCUUCGCUCUAGUAAUUUCAUUAUCUGUCAGUUAAUAUUUUCAUCAACGAAGUAAUAUUUUAAUGAAAGUAAUAGUCUUUCCCACAGGUGCAUGUGCCAAAAUUAAAUGGAUGCAUACCUUUGGUAAGUGCCACAUCUUGACACCAUGUGUCCUCUGAAUGGUCUCGACCAUUAUUCGUUUUUUUUUCCUCAAUCUGUUGCGUUCAGAUGGUAUGCAUGUUGUUUGACAAUCUCCUGUCAUUUAUUCACUAGUCUUCCCGUGUGGGAGUCUUCACCAGGGAACUGGAGCUCCUGCUCGACAAACUGAUUGUGCCUGGGGACAAUAAUCUUCUCCAAGAACUUAAAGAAAACCUGAAUAAACUGAAACCACAUGGGCAGACUGACCCCAACUGCCAAACGGAACUGGUCAAAAGGCCCGCACUAUUUUUCAGAAAGUUCAUUAAUUUACUCAGGAAACUGAACUCCAGGGAAAGAUGAAGGUCCCAGCCUGCUCUCUGUUCUCUACAGUUCAGCUUCAUCUGUUAAUGAUCAGAGUCAUUUAAAGUGCUAUUUUAAAUCAAACGAAAGGACCAGUGAAUGUAUUAGAUACCUAUUCUUAUGCAGUUUCAAAUUCAGAAUUUUUCAAAAAAGCCAUUUAUGUAUUUAUUAGUAUUAUUUAUUUAUGUUUUUUUAUUUAUUUAUCUAUUCAUUUAUAUGCCUUUUUUUCUUUCUUCAGAAAUGUAUUAUAAUGCACUCAGCUAACUGGGUGGGACAAAGUACUAGUCACAUUAAUGUGAAAACUAUAUUUCAGUUUACAAAUGUUGUGCUGCUGCCUUGAAAUAAAUCAUUCACAUUCAUAAUUUAUUAUCACUGAGUGUUUGUAAAUCCUUUUUUAAUCCUAUUGAACUGCUGCUACAUGUUAUUCGGACUCCAAACGGGGGGAAAAGGCAGACGCAUGUCAAAAUAAUACACCUUAUAUAAAGUUCAACAAAGGGCGCGCAAAAAAAAAAAGGACAAAAUUCAGAUUUGAAAUCUUUAAAAGGUCUUUCAAUA